UGGAUUUGGUCAACAAGAAGUACAUUGCAAUUAUUUUCUGAGAUGUGAAAUAAUUAACUUGUUCUCUGUAGUAUCGUAUAAGCUUUGGAAUCGUGACAUUACAUACUAUCGAAGAAAAUAGGCAGUUUUUCUCGACUCCUACCCUGACUUUAAAUUAAGAAGGGAUUUCAUGACGACGGUUUUGCAAAUGCCUGACGCAUAUUUGACAACGUGAACGCGAUUGGUCGACAGUCUUUUUGGUGAUGCGUUAUACAUUCCUCCAUUCGUUGCCCAAUGGGGUUGUCUCCUCUGAUAUAUCCUCCUUUCUGUAAUAUCUCUCGUUGCGCCUUGACACCGAUCCAUUAGACUGAUCUAAGGUCCGUUUUGUGUUUCCCUCCUAACAAUAACCUAUUGAGGACAAACUGAGGAUAUUACAUCUGUGCCGAAUACUGUAUCAACGUCUACCCCAAGCACUAUGAGUGGUAUGGUGAUGAAGGGUGUAGGCACAGACUACACAGUCAAAAUAAUACAAACUAAAUAGACAAUUAAACCUGCACACAAUCAUUUAAAUAUGAUUUAAUGUAGUCUAAAUGUAAUGUUUUUAAUGUAAGCUACAUUCCUCUCUGAUUUGAGACAGCAUUAAAGGUGUGCAUUUUAAAUAGAAAAUUGAUCAUUACAAAGCAAUUAAUUAGGGGUUUGGUUCAGUUGCACCUGAGACUUUAUGGUUUUAUAAGAAUUCCUUGAGAAACUGCAUACUUGGUUUUAUAACGUUUCCAAUGUGUCUAUAUAUACAUGGGUGUGCAGAUUUUCCCCAAAAUAACAGUAGCCUAACUUUAUGCACACAUUGUUUCUAGGUGUAAAAUCAAUAGCUAUGUUGAGUAUCAUUAAAUACCUCUGAUUCAAUCAGUUGACGUUUAUUUACGUAAUAGCCCAGUUCACUACGCAUAACUAGAGACUUUUGUGGUUUAACAAUACCUAACAAAUGCGGUUAAACCUGUAUUACUGGUUAUUUGUAGGAGUUUCACAUUGCGAGAGUAGUCUGUUAAAGCGUAGGAGCAGGAAACUUCGCUUCUCUUAAGAUAAGACUUCACACACCUCUCAGGAAGGAUUUACAGAGAGAGACACAUGUUGUACAUAUUAGGGAUUACCAUUGGCCUCAUUUGCAUCAUUAUAUGCUUUUCAAAUGGCCUAAAAGAGAGAAAUGCUUUGAUGCGCAGAAAUAAAGGUGGAAAUCCUCAAAAUUCUGAACACAAGGAAGCCAACAAGAAAAAGUUAACUGAACAAGACUAUCACUUGUUGGCCAAAGUCCUGUCAGUUGGAUUGGUAGAUGCAGACCCCAAUUAUCUUCAACACCUCAAGAACUACAGGGACCUGCGUGGUAGCACUUCCUGAAGGAUCCACACACCAGGAAAUGUACGGCACAGUUAUUUCUGGAGCCAAUCACAUUUGGUACCCUGGAAAAGUUAUCCACCUAUAUAAAAAAACAUUAACGGACAAUGUGAGAAUGAAGAAGGAUCCUCUCAUGGGCCCACAGUUGUCAUUGGAGUGAUGUGCUGCCCUUUUAUUUUAUUUGUUGAUUAAUGAAUAAUGUAAUGAUUAGUUAUAAAACUGCAUAUCUUACUAUUUGUCCCAUGGCAAAAUGGGUAGAAUUGUAGGAAUUUAGCUGACCCCCCCCCCCCCCCAUACACACACAGACAAAACAAAAAACAACUAUAAUAGCUCAUAUACUGUUCAUGAUUUCCACUUAACAGAUAUGUGCGAUAUAAAAGUGUUUAUACAGCUUCUGGAAACAUAAUGAUAUUCCAAUCUCAAGACUAAAAGUUAAAACAGUUGGUAAGAUAUUUUAUCACCUCGUGUAUACUCUCAUAUUCUCAUUUGGUCAAGUUGUAGCCAGAUAAUUAGAAAGUGGAAAAUUAUUGUUUUGAAAAUGUGAUAACUUCUUGGUAGGAAAGGACUAAACCGAUCAACUGAGUUCUAUUUUUCAAUUGUGAUAUGCUGAUUACAUUUAUUUUAAAAAGAACAACUCUAUCUACAUGAAACACAAACAUCAUAGGUUUAAGUCAUUUCAAUCUCUUUAAAUACUUUUGGUAAAGUAUCAUACCACUGUUUUCCCACAAUAUCUUAGAGGCAGAUUUGUUAGUUAGAAACAAUGUCAUCAGAGGACAGUACAUAUCCCAAGACCCUGUGUGCAAUAUCUAUUCAUACACAUACAGUAUUUCUUGAGGUAUGUUGGGGAAAUCGGAGUGAUACCAAUGCAUCAGGCCCUGGUGGUUUGAAACAGGAACAUGGGCUGAAUUCACAAAAGGUUGGUGGCACCUUAAUUGGGGAAGACGGGCUCGUGGUAAUGGCUGGAGUGGAAUAAUUGAAAUGGUAUUAAACACAUGGUUUUAAUUUUUUUACCUUUAUUAAACCUUUAUUUAACUAG